AUGUCCGAGCUCGGCUGUGUGCAUAAUGCCUUCUCAUACUCCAUUGUUCUGAAGAGCUUAUGCGACAAUAGCAUGAGUCAGCGGGGGCUCGACAUGCUCCAGAUGAUGGCGAAAGAAGGAGGUGUCUGCUUCCCCAACGUGGUGGCAUAUAGCACGGUUAUCCAUGGCUUCUUUAAGGAGGGCGAAACAGGCAAGGCAUGCAAUCUCUUCCACGAAAUGAUGCAGCAAGGGCUUGUGCCCGAUGUGGUGACAUACAACUCAAUCAUUGACGCGUUGUGCAAGGCCAGGGCAAUGGACAAGGCAGAGCUAGUCCUUCGGCAGAUGGUUGCUAAUGGUGCUCAACCCGAUACAGUGACAUAUAAUUGCAUGAUCAAUGGAUAUGCCACAUCUGGGCGGUUGAAAGAGUCUGCUAAAAUGUUCAGAGAAAUGAAAAGCCGGGGUCUUAUGCCAGAUAUUGUUACUUGCAACUCCUUCCUGUCCUCCCUUUGCAAGCAUGGAAGAAGCAAAGAAGCUGCAGAAUUUUUUGAUUCCAUGACCGCCAAGGGCCACAAACCGGAUAUCGUCUCAUGCCGUAUUUUGCUUCAUGGGUAUGCUACUGAAGGAUGCUUUGCUGAUAUGAUUGAUCUCUUUAACUCAGUGGGAAGCAACGGCAUUGCAGCCGACUGCCGUGUUUUCAAAAUAUUAAUUAAUCGAUAUGCUAAACGUGGAAUGACAGAUGAAGCUAUGCUGAUAUUUACUGAAAUGCGGGGACAAGGAGUAAGUCCAAAUGUAGUCACCUAUUCCAUUGUAAUAGCCGCACUUUCCAGAAAACUUUCCAGAAUGGGUAGGUUGACCGAUGCUAUGGACAAAUUUGAUCAGAUGGUUGCCUUGGGAGUACAGCCGGAUAGAUCUAUUUAUCAGUCCCUUAUUCAGGGCUUUUUUAUGCAUGGUGGUUUGGUUAAAGCUAAGGAGUUGGUUUCUCAAAUGAUAAACAAAGGUAUUCCUCGUCCUGACAUUGUGUUCUUCAAUUCAGUAAUAAACAGUAUGUGCAAGGAAGGCAGGGUUAUGGAUGCACAUGAUAUCUUUGACUUGGUUAUAGACAUAGGUGAGAGGCCUGAUGACAUUUCAUUUAAUUCACUGAUUGACGGAUAUUGCUUAGUCGGGAAUAUGGAUAAAGCAUUUAAGAUACUUGAUGCCAUGGAAGUUGGUGUUGAGCCUGAUGUUAUUACAUAUAAUACACUUGUUAAUGGCUAUUGUAGAAAUGGAAGGAUCGAUGAUGGUUUGGCUCUGUUUAGAGAAAUGCCGCAUAAGAGAAUUAAACCUGACACUGUAACAUAUGACAUCAUACUGAAUGGGUUGUUUCAUUCUGGGAGCACUGUUGCUGCAAGAAAAAUGUUCCAUGAGAUGAUCGAAAGUGGAAUAACAGUGAGCAUUCCCACAUAUGGUAUAAUAAUUGCUGGUUUUUGUAGAAAUAAUUGUGCAGAGGAAGCUAUCGACCUAUUCCAUAAACUAAGUGCUAUGAAUGUGAAGUUUGAUAUUGCAAUACACAAUACUAUGAUUAAUGCGAUAUUCAAGGUUGGGAGAAGAGAGGAAGCUAAGGAUUUGUUUGCUGCAAUAUCACCCAGUGGGUUGGUGCCCACGGAAUCUACUUAUGCAGUAAUGAUAACAAAUCUUCUAGAAGAUGGAGUAGUGGAAGAAGCAGACAAUAUGUUUUCAUCAAUGGAGAAAAGUGGUAUAAUCCCCAGCUCCCGUCUGUUAAAUUGUAUCAUCAGAAUGUUGUUGGAAAAAGGUGAGAUUGCCAAGGCCGGAAAUUACUUGUCUAAAGUUGAUGGGAAGAGCAUUUUACUUGAAGCAUCAACAACUUUAUUGAUGUUGUCUUUGUUUUCGAAGAAAGGCAAAUACCGGGAGGACAUGAAAUUGCUCCCUGCAAAGUAUCAAUUUUUUAUGGACUUGGUUGAC
rnacentral:rRNA from 1 species